AAUACAAUAUAUUCCAGACACUUCCCUUGUGGCCCUAGUAAUCAGUACUGGUUUUACCUCCAGUCUGACGCCCCUGCUGUAACGUAAUAUCACCAGUGGAUCUAUGUUCCACA